GGAGUUAGCGGAAGAGAAGGGGUUUGAUACGAACUGUAGGUAGCUAGCCAUGGCUCAGUUUGCUCUCGUUCCACGUCGCGUGAGGUUUGUAUGUGUUUUUUGUUAAAGUUGUCGUUUCACACGCUGAUCCAUCCGAAAGACUCAUCCCCUUCCGUUAGAAUUCUGUCUAGUCGAGAAAAGUUUGCGACAAAAUUAUUUGCGUCAGUGUGUCUCCUUGUAAAGUGCUUGUCAAGUGUGUGUAUGAGGUGUUUAAGAUUCUCUAAAGUGCUUUGUGCUUUUGGGAUAAAUUUCGCGCGUGAUCGCGGAUAGAGGAUCAUGCUGAUAAGAAGCCACUAUUGCUUGUUUGCAUUGUUAUUGUUCGCGUUUGGAUGUAUUCGAGAAUCUGGACAACUCAUUAUCAAGAGCAUCGAUGUACCAGCUAUUGUAAAGGUCAGCGAGACUGAUUCCAUUAUUCUCGAUUGCGAUUAUGAUCUUGAAAAUACAUCCAGUCAGGGCCUCGUCGUCAAAUGGUAUUUCAACACUGACCAAUUGGUUUACCAAUGGAUCUAUGGCAGGUACCCUCUAGCGGAUGAACCAGCUGUAAAAUACAUUGAUUUAGCGUACAAAACCAGCGAUGAUCCCUAUACUGGAUAUCGAGCCAUGAAGUUGAAUAAGCCAGGUGUCGACCUUACUGGCGAAUACACAUGCGUUAUAUCUACUUUUGCAGAUGAACGAACGGCGAACGCGUCAAUGAUAGUGUACUCUACAGAAGAAAAAUUUGACCUUAUAUACAGAAAAAAGACUAUAGAUGAUAAAGAUGGAGUUGAAAUAACGUGCAUGGCCGAAGGACUUUAUCCUCAACCGAUUCUAAACAUCUCCGUCGAAGGUAAUUUGGCGAAGCAAAUGGGAAACCCCAUCAUAACUCAACGUGAUGAUAGACUAUACAAUAUUUUAUCUCGCAUCACCUUAUUAGACGAAAAUUUACCAGAAACAACAAUUAUCAAAUGUUUGCUCAGUAUACCAAAGGCGAUCUACAACGUUUCUCGUAAAACUGUUUAUUACGCUGGAACAUUUACCACAUCAACUACUACAACGAAGCUGCACCGUAAAAUGGAGGUCCUGACCUUUGAUAAGUCACAAUCUGGUAAUAGUGCUGAUGGCUCUAUCGGAUAUACGUCAAUUAAUCUUUUAUUGUUAUCGAUAAAGUUAGCUGUUUUCAAUGUAUUUCAUCGAUAACUUAAUAGCUCAAUUAAUAUUGAUGUUUGCUGGUCAGUUCAUUGCAAGAAAAAGUAAAAAAGUAAAGGGAUAUUUUCAAUUGAUUUGGGAAUACAAAAUGUCUCUUUACUUUUUGAUUUUGAAGAAAAUAGAGAAUAGUAUAUGUGAGCACUGUGUUAGGACGAUGGUGCUCGAUUUCAGCCAGUUGUACAGCCUUAUUAUAGUAUUAUAUGCCGUAUCCUGAUCAAGAAACGAAUGCAGAAUAUAUGAAGAAGAUUGUUGGCUUUUUACAUUAAACAAUACAUUAUGCAAAUUCCAUAAUUGUUCGAAAGAUGAAAAGAUCACUGUAUCUUCUCUUUAUUGUUUAUUGUCACACACACACACACACACA